AUGUAUAGCGAAAGCUAGUUGUAUUAACUAAUAGUUAAUAUAAAAUCAACUAUGUUGAAUAAAGUUCUAGGUAGAUUUAUGAUAAUGACAUUUUCUCCCUAUGUGUCUUGACCAAAUCACGUGCCAGCAGUCGCGGUAAUACGUGGAAGACUAGUGUUAUUCAUCUUUAAUGGGUUUAAAGUGUACUUAGACGGUGAAUUAAGCCCGCAAAGGGGUACUGAUAAACUAGAGUUUUAUGUGAGGGGGGCCAGUACUACUGGAGUAGAGAUGAAAUUCUGUCAUACCAGUAUCGGAACAGGUAACGGCGAAAGCAACCUUUUAUGUAAAAACUGACGUUGAAGGACGAAGGCUCGGGACACCAACAGGAUUAGGAACCCCAGCAGUCCGAGCAGACAAUGAUGAAUGCCAUAGGUUAAACUAAGUUUUGUCUAUAAAUGAAAGUGUAAGCAUUCCACCUCAAGAGUAAAGUGGCAACGCACAAACUGAAAUCAUUAGACCGUUUCUGAAACCAGUAGUGAAGUAUGUUGUUUAAUUCGUAGGUACGCGAAAAACCUUACCACAAUUUGAAUAUUUUUAUUUUUAUAUCUAUACAAGCGUUGCACGGCUGUCUUCAGUUAAUGUCGUGAGAUUUUGGUUAGUUCCAUUAAAUUAACGUAAACCCUUACUUUAUUUAUUUUUAUAGAGUAGUUCCCCGCUAUAUUGGAUAUGAUAAAAGGGACUAAGACAGUCAUCAUG
rnacentral:rRNA from 1 species